rnacentral:misc_RNA from 1 species
AUGACUUUUCAUUUUCAGUUUGGAUUUAACAUGUUUCCGGAGAUUGUAAGACCUUUCAACAAUCAUUAUAGAUGUUUUUCUGUAUCAAUGUUACCGGGUACAUAUCGACGAGAUGUAGAACGUGGAGGAAAAAUAAUCAUGCCACCUUCAGCUUUAGAACACCUUACAAGAUUAAACAUUAGAUUUCCUAUGCUAUUUAAAUUAAGUAACGAAAAAACAAAUAGAAUUACUCAUUGUGGUGUUUUAGAAUUUGUUGCAGAUGAAGGAAGAGUUUAUUUACCUUGUUGGAUGAUGUAUAAUCUUUUAUUACAAGAAGGAGAUCUAAUAAAUGUUGAAAGUGUAAAUUUACCUGUUGCAACAUUUUCUCGUUUUCAACCUCAAUCUGAAGAUUUUUUAGAUAUUACAAAUCCUAAAGCUGUUUUAGAAAAUGGAUUAAGAAAUUUUGCUUGUCUCACAACAGGUGAUAUUAUUGCCAUAAAAUAUAAUCAAAGAAUAUAUGAAAUGUGUGUUUUGGAAACAAGACCUGGUCCAGCAGUUACUAUCAUAGAAUGUGAUAUGAAUGUUGAAUUUGCUCCUCCACUGGGAUAUGUAGAAAAAGAAACUAAGAAGGAUGAAAAUGUAGUAGAUCCUGCAGAUUUAAUGCCAGCCCCAUCUGGUUUUGUACCAUUCAAAGGAGAGGGUAAUAGAUUGGAUGGCAAAAAACGUAGAGAUUUUGCAAAACCAGAAGUAACUACAAAUAAACCAGCUUAUGUUAGAGGAAUACCAGAUUAUGAUUACAAAAUAGGAACACUUACAUUCUUGCGUAUUAUUAAGCCUGUAAAUAAUAAAGAGGCAAAAGAUCAAGAUGAAUUUAAAGCAUUCACUGGUGAAGGUUUUUCUCUUAGAAAGUCAAAAUAAUUAAAUAAUUAGUGAUUUAUUUAUUUUCAUACAAUUACAUGUAUUUGUAAAAGCUUGCAAUAAGAAAUUUAAUCUAUCAAUGGACCCCAGAAAUAUUUACUGGGUUUUGUAGGAUCUUCUGUUAAGAAAAAUUCACGACCCAAUAUUAUAAAUUCUUUGGAACUAAUUUUACCAUCAUCAUUAAUAUCAAUAUGAUUGAAGGAGAUAACUGCAUCCUAUAAUAAAUAUUUAUUUUCAUUAUUUUUUUUUAUAUUAAUUAUUAUAGAAAAAUAUAUAAUCUUACUUACAUCAUGUGUAAGUCCUAAACAUUGAAAAAAUAACUUAUAUUCUUGUAUAGAAAUUUCACCAUUAUGGUCUUUAUCUACUGCCUGCAAUUUUUUUUAGAUAAUAUAUUUAAAAUAUUUUUUAACAUUAUUGUUUUAUAUAAAAAUAUAUUUUUGAAAACAUACUUUGAAUAAAAAUGGCAAAAAAUGA